AGAGUUUGAUCCUGGCUCAGAAUGAACGCUGGCGGCGUGCCUAACACAUGCAAGUCGAGCGGUAAGGCCCCUUCGGGGGUACACGAGCGGCGAACGGGUGAGUAACGCGUGGGUAAUCUACCUAGAAGUGGGGGAUAGCCUCGGGAAACCGGGGGUAAUACCGCAUGAGUCUUGGACGGCGCGAGCCGACCAAGGGAAAGGCGGGGAUCCUUCGGGACCUGUCGCUUCUGGAUGAGCCCGCGUCCGAUUAGCUAGUUGGCGGGGUAAUGGCCCACCAAGGCAUCGAUCGGUAGCCGGCCUGAGAGGGUGUUCGGCCACAUUGGGACUGAGACACGGCCCAGACUCCUACGGGAGGCAGCAGUGGGGAAUUUUGGGCAAUGGGCGCAAGCCUGACCCAGCGACGCCGCGUGGGGGAUGAAGGCCUUCGGCUUGUAAACCCCUGUCAGGUGGGAAGAAAGUCUUGGCGGAUAAUACCUGUCAAGACCUGACGGUACCACCAAAAGAAGCCCCGGCUAACUCCGUGCCAGCAGCCGCGGUAAUACGGAGGGGGCAAGCGUUAUUCGGAAUUACUGGGCGUAAAGCGCACGUAGGCGGCGAGGCAAGUCAUAGGUGAAAGCCCUCGGCUCAACCGAGGAACUGCCUUUGAAACUGCGUCGCUUGAGUCCGGGAGAGGGGAGCGGAAUUCCCAGUGUAGCGGUGAAAUGCGUAGAUACUGGGAGGAACACCGGUGGCGAAGGCGGCUCCCUGGACCGGUACUGACGCUGAGGUGCGAAAGCGUGGGUAGCAAACAGGAUUAGAUACCCUGGUAGUCCACGCCGUAAACGAUGGGCACAAGGUGCAGCGGGUGUCGACCCCUGCUGUGCCGAAGCUAACGCAUUAAGUGCCCCGCCUGGGGAGUACGGUCGCAAGGCUGAAACUCAGAGGAAUUGACGGGGGCCCGCACAAGCGGUGGAGCAUGUGGUUUAAUUCGAUGCACCGCGAGGAACCUUACCUGGGUUU
rnacentral:rRNA from 1 species